rnacentral:tRNA from 1 species
GCCUGGUUGGUUCAGUCAGUAGAGCAUGUGACUCUUGAUCUCAGGGUCGUGAGUUUGCAGCCCACAUUGAGCA